GGCUCUGCCAUAUGUAUCAGCUGUAUCCCUUUUAAAGCCCUUUGGGCAUCUCCCCCCCCUUUCUCAGUACCUUCCGUCUACGUGACAACCACAUGUGUGAUUCUAGCCGGCUCGUAAUUGUCCUUCUGGAAGGCUAAAAGAUAAGUAGGGGCCGCUGAUAUUCUCUGUCGCCCCCCCUAUCUGUUCUGAUUAGGUAGCCUUGCCUUGUCAGUUCUCGUUUUGAUUAGUUACAGCCUUAUAGAAUCAUUCCCUUUAUUUUAUUAAUUAUUCCCUCACUAUCUAGUGCUGCUUCAUUAUUCCAUCCUCUUUGUGCAAUGUACUGAUGUACAGUACUGUCAGCAAAACAGCAUGAUACUACCACCACCAUGCUUGACCGUUGGUUCAGUGUUCUUAGGUUAGGAAAACAACCUCUCCCUAAUUAGCCCCUUCAAACAUAUCUCUUUUCAUUGUGGCCAAGCAGAGAUGACACAUUCACACGUCAUUGUGACUGCUCCCCCCCCAGAGCGCAUUUUAAUAUAGGCUACAGCUUUUGAUAAGAUCUGUGUUUUAGCUGAUAAUUACAUCUAAUCUUAAAUCUUUUUUUUUUGAUAAACAUCAUAACAAAAUAGGAGUGAAUACAUUUUAAAAAUAACAUACUUGAAGACCACAUACAUACAGAUUCAUCAAACAAUCAGUCAUUGGCGUAGAAAAAACAGAAAAAAGGCACCUUUCGAAAAGGCAUUGCGGACUAGAGCUGUACUGCGCAUGCGCGAUACAUUCCAACGGCUAUUUCACCGGACGUCCACCCGGAAAAUUCCACAGAAGUUGAAAACUUUCCCGGUACGUUUUAGGUGCUGUGUGGCAAAAUUCAAAAACGAAAGAGAGGUGAAAGGAAGCAUUACCUCAUUCCUCUACAAUGCAUGUGAUUUAAAAGGCGGAAGAAGAGACGCAGACAAGAGGAAGAGCAGGAGAGUGGCCCUUCCAAACAGGGGAGACUGGAAUUGGUGGACUAAGAGGGUUUUUUAAUUUGUAAAAUAAAUGUAAACUGAUUUUUUAUUUAAUUGUGAUGUCAGUGUGUGAUUUUCCUUAAAUAAAUAUUGCAUAAAACUGA